GACGAACGCUGGCGGCGUGCCUAAUACAUGCCAGUCGAACGCACAGUUUAUACCGUAGCUUGCUACACCAUAGACUGUGAGUUGCGAACGGGUGAGUAACGCGUAGGUAACCUGCCUGGUAGCGGGGGAUAACUAUUGGAAACGAUAGCUAAUACCGCAUAAUAUUGAUUAUUGCAUGAUAAUUAAUUGAAAGGUGCAAUUGCACCACUACCAGAUGGACCUGCGUUGUAUUAGCUAGUAGGUGAGGUAACGGCUCACCUAGGCGACGAUACAUAGCCGACCUGAGAGGGUGAUCGGCCACACUGGGACUGAGACACGGCCCAGACUCCUACGGGAGGCAGCAGUAGGGAAUCUUCGGCAAUGGACGAAAGUCUGACCGAGCAACGCCGCGUAAGUGAAGAAGGUUUUCGGAUCGUAAAGCUCUGUUGUAAGAGAAGAACGGGUGUGAGAGUGGAAAGUUCACACUGUGACGGUAUCUUACCAGAAAGGGACGGCUAACUACGUG
rnacentral:rRNA from 1 species